CUCGGGUGCGGCCCCAGAAAAGGCAAAAAGACAAAAAGACCAAAACAAAACAAAACCCCACAAAAUGCCCCUUCAUUCUUCGUCUUGCCGGAAUGGCUCUGUUGGGGAUUGUUCUUCGGCCUGUGGCAGUCGUGUCUUGCCAAGCCCUUUUUCGGGAUACACAUGUCUAGGGGAGAGGCAAUAUUCUGCAAGAAUUAAUCGUAACAUCUUAGCAAGAUUCCUUAGCAAGAUUCCGUAGAGGGAAUGAAGGAGUGGCUUUUGUAACAAGAGAAGGGAUGUUCAUUUUUCGUUGCUUUGCAAUCUCACACCUUGCAGUUGCAUUCUUUGUUUCCCCCACCUUGUUUGAGCAGUCUAAUCAGUACCCAUCCAAGAAGCCUCACUUCAGGAGAGAGAAAUAUUAUGCACAGUAAAAGCUUCCUCCAGCAGCCUUUGCAAGGAUCUCACACCCAAUUGCUUCUGAAGAUGCUGAGACACCGAUUCGGCUUCCAUCAUGGUACCGGAGGCCUGCAGGGAUGAGCGGUUCUCAUCUUCCCGGAAGAAAAAAAAGAAGUAUGUUCAAGGGAUGAGUUAGCCACGUUGCCAGGCAGAAGAGGGGAUGAAAAGGAAAGAAUGCCUGCCAUGAGAUGUUGAGAGAAAAUAAGAGGAUCAAACAUCAAAAAACUUCCGAGGCAACUACCGCAAAUGUGGAGCCCACGGUCACACGCGUCAAGAAAUCUUAAGCAGGGGAUUUAGUUUAAAGUGGGUCUGGACUGAUUGUUUAGAGAAUAUAGAGUUAAAGAAUAUGAACAUCCAAACUGACUUUCAACUUGGAGAAUUGACUACAACCUUCCCAAAGUCUCCACUACUGCCGUUGUUACCUUCCUGGAAUCUCACAGAGACAGCCUGUCUUGGAAGCCAAAGUUGGGUAACAGCAUCCUUCUCAGCUCUUUUCUCUGCUGUCAUUACUUGAAUGGCAAUAUGACCCUGGCUGGAUCCAGAGUCCGUCUCUCCUCAACCACCCAGUUAUCGCCCAAGAGUUCGGUGGAUAUUCUGGCUGAAUGUCCAGUUUUAGCAGCUCCCUAGAUAGCCGAGUGCAUUGAGUAGGACCCUCCUGGGCAAUCCUGGCAUCUCAGACCGCCAGGGGUCAUUUCGGCCCAUUUUUUGAUGAAUCUAUAUCCACACAAUUUACAUAAUGAAUGCCCAUCAGGAUGAGGAGCAAAGACCUUGCUGUUUAAGGUAGCUGUAACAUCAGGGCCAGCCCUGUCCACUCUGCCUAAAAUAAAACAUGUUAAUAUCUAGGAGUUCCCGUCGUGGCGCAGUGG